GCGGAGGUCCGAUAGUCUGGUCAAGUCGGCAGGCUUGAGGAGCCUGUUCCUUAGUGGAUUCGCAGGUUCAAAUCCUGCCCUCCGCA
rnacentral:tRNA from 1 species